ACAAUGCUAUAGACUAUGAAGUCCUCUGUAAGAUUAAGUAGCUGGAAGAUGAGAUAUUUGUUGCGAAAAUUAGAAAAAAAUUGCAAACAACCAUAAGUUUGCAUAUUUUUUAAAUAAAAUAAUUUUCUUUUUUUUAACUAAUAAACAAUUUUUGGACUGUAGGUUUAGUUUGUAGGUAACUUUUUAUUUCCGUUGUACAUGCUGUACUUUUAACUUGUCAAUUCAAAUUGAAAUCAAUGUACACCUAACACAAUUUAAGUUUUAUUAUACCUACAUGUAUUUAAAGCUGCUUACUGGGAAAAUGGACCAAUAUAUCGUUUGAUUAAUCAGAACUCAGAAAUAUUGCGAAACAUGAAGAAGACAGAGACAAUGUUUUUGUCUGAUGGUACAUCUGUUUAUCCAAUAUCCGAUUUAAAAAACAGUUUUCAUAUCAGUAUAACAGUUUACAUUUACAAUAUAAUAUUGCAGCUACGAACUGUAGUAUACCAUUAUUAUGAAAACUAAAAUCCUUGUCCUUCUUUUCCAAAAUAUUAUAUGAACUGUUCAGAACUGUUGUUUCGAAAAAUACACAGACACAAUUCUCAGGGGGUUUCUUAUUCUGUCGUUUUACAAAACAUUUACUCUUAUAGCAUUUGUUAUUAUUUGACUAUUGAUAAAAAUGUCGACAAUAAAAUAUUCUUGACUU
rnacentral:misc_RNA from 1 species